GUUCAGUGGCAAGCCAAAAUUCAGGAUGACUGACUAUAUCCUGAGAUGAAGUUGAUGACCUUGAUGUCUUCAUUGUUGACCAAACUCUUAAGAACUCCACAAUGCUUGCUUCAGAUGACUUCAUGGCUAUUGGAACAAAUGGUUUUUAUCCUCCCAUCCAGGGAAUUAAAGGGGACCAGGCUGUGUACCAGGGUAGAAAAUACUAGGACAGAAAGAGAUCUCAAGGAAUCUUUGAAGAUCCUUCAGAAUAUGGGAUCCAAAGUCAUCUGGCAACCACAUCCAAGUCAGAGAUCAGGAAAGACUGCUGGAAGCCAGAAGCACUUGAAGUGACUGGACACCUGGAAGAAGAUUGAAGAAGGCUGGACCUCUCUCACUCAAAAAUUUGGCUCUACCCUUCCCACCACCAGGCAUUGAAUAAGAGAGUCCCAUACCAAAGGGCUUCAGGACUAGAGUUCUACUUGUUCUGUUUUUCUAGCUAGAUUUUAAAUGCGAUGAGGGAAGGAUCCGGUCUUAUAUUUCCUUUACUCUUUCCCAAAGGCACUUGAUCAAUAUAAGAUUCAUUAUAUUGUGAGAAUUUAGGCCAGUCUCAUCACAAUGCUCUACUCCACUGUGAGCCAGCCUAAAAUCCCUUAUUUUUAAAGAACUCACUUCAAAACUUUUGGUUUGAAUCAGGUGAUUUAACAAAAUGAAGAAAACCAAAAAUCCUUGGCCACAGUUCAGCAAGGUUAUCAUAGAAUUUAGAGGAUAUUUUAGAGAUCCUCUAGUCCUGCUUCCUCUUUACAUCUGAGGAAACUGAACCCUGGAAUAGGAAGGUGACUUGCCUGAAGGUAAUUUAAAAGGAAUGUCCAACCAAAGACUUUCCCUUCUAAAACAAGAUCCUUCCCUGUUCCACCAAGGACUUCUCAUCCAACCCAGGCCUUUCCCUGUCCUUCAUAGCUGGUAUGCAAAGUAAAUGCACAAGAAACCAAAGAGAUAAAGCACUGGAGAGGGUGCUAUCUUGACCUAGCAAUGCUGAUUAUGCUAUUAAACCUUUUUUCUUUCCUCUGCCCUCUGGGGCCCUGCCAUGGGAGAGGUGACCCAGCUGAGGGAAGCCAGGUGGCUGUCUGGCCUUCGGAAUCACAAAGGCCUCAGUGAUCUGUAGGGAGCAAUGCAUGCCAGGGGCUCAGGGCAGGUCAGACGUUGACAGCCAACUUCACCCCAUUGGCAGCCAGGGCCUGAUAAAGACCUGAUUGAUUGGGGGAGUACUUCCUGACAGCUUAAUGAAUGACCGUAAUUAGGGGGCCCCACCAUGAGCUGGUGCAGUUACAUAGGCUCCAUUGUGGACAGGAUGCAUGCUGAAAUUCAUGGCCAAAACAUGGUAUGAGAGCAACUCAAAAGAUUUCCAACACAGAGAGUGAGCAGAUCUGUAGGAAAAUGUGUUUAUGGAACAGAACAAAGCAAGCUCCAUUCCCAUUGGUCCAUCUCUGAACCUCAGGGUCAUCAUUAAUGAUAGCUUCUUGUAGAAAGCAAAGGUCCUUUCCCUUGGGGUAAUAUAAUACUGGUAGCUACCAUUGCCUUGAUGGUAGAGACCAAAGGAGCUUAUGACCUGAAGGGAUAAAAAUGGUCCCCUAAGAACUGCCAGAAAACCCAAGGUAUUGCUUUAUCUGGGUCUUUUUUUUUCUUCUUUCUUGUCAAACCCACAAAUAUUUAGGGGGAUUUAAUUUUCAUUUCUCAGAUUUUCUCAUGUUUUCUUUAUCCUAAUGUUGUUUGGUGAAAGUGAUUUGAUGCCUGUGACAGUUCCCAAGACAUUUUUUUAGGUUUUUCUUAGAAGCAGGAAGUUACAGUGUGCCAAACGCCAAAGAAGCCAGCUUCUAACGAUGAAGAAUACAGUGAGUAAUGGUAAUAAUGUGCCCAGAGAGGAAAACAACUCAGCUCAUUCUUU